rnacentral:rRNA from 1 species
CCUACGGGAGGCUGCAGUGAGGAAUAUUGGUCAAUGGGCGUAAGCCUGAACCAGCCAUCCCGCGUGAAGGAAGACGGCGCUAUGCGUUGUAAACUUCUUUUCCGGAGGAAUAAAAUUUCGUACGUGUACGGAACUGAAGGUACUCCGGGAAUAAGCAUCGGCUAACUCCGUGCCAGCAGCCGCGGUAAUACGGCGGAUGCCGGCGUUAUCCGGAUUAAUUGGGUUUAACGGGUACUUAUAAGGCUUAGGUGAAAACCUGCAGCUUAACUGGAGACUGGACAUUGAUACUGUUAGUCUUGAGUACGGUCAAGGUAGGCGGAAUGUGUAAUGUAGCGGUGAAAUGCUUAGAUAUUACACAGAACACCGAUUGCGAAGGCAGCUUACUGGGCCAUUACUGACGCUGAUGCACGAAAGCGUGGGGAGCGAACAGGAUUAGAUACCCUAGUAGUC